rnacentral:rRNA from 1 species
AUUGAACGCUGGCGGAAUGCUUUACACAUGCAAGUCGAACGGCAGCACGGGGGCAACCCUGGUGGCGAGUGGCGAACGGGUGAGUAAUACAUCGGAACGUGCCCAGUCGUGGGGGAGUAACUACGCGAAAGCGUAGCCAAUACCGCAUACGAUCUACGGAUGAAAGCGGGGGAUCGCAAGACCUAGCGCUGGAAGAGGGGCCCGCGUCCGAUUAGCUAGUUGGUGAGGUAACGGCUCACCAAGGCAACGAUCGGUAGCCGGCCUGAGAGGGCGGACGGCCACACUGGGACUGAGACACGGCCCAGACUCCUACGGGAGGCAGCAGUAGGGAAUUGUUCGCAAUGGGCGCAAGCCUGACGACGCAACGCCGCGUGGAGGAUGAAGAUUUUCGGAUCGUAAACUCCUUUCGAUCGAGACGAAUGGCCUCCGGGUGAAUACCCCGGAGGAAUGACGGUACCGAGAGAAGAAGCCCGGCUAACUCCGUGACAGCAGCCGCAGUAAU